rnacentral:rRNA from 1 species
AUGGCUCAGUCGCAAUCUCCCCAUGCCUCCGAACCCCUCCCUACCGCCCCAUUCCUCCAAACCCCAGCCCAAUCCCCCGCUCCCGGAACCCCAAUCCCGCAAGAGAUGGCGGCGGCGGCGGCGAUGAGGAAGGAGAGGAAGAUUUGUAAGGAGAAGAAGGCGGCCUCGCUGCUCCUUCCCCCACAAUAUAAUUUGAAGGAGGGGGAGGCGGAGGCCCGGAUGGCGUCGAUGAAGAAGAAGCAAAGGCGGAAGGAGCGCAAGCACGCGGAGAUUAUGCCGUCCUCCGCCGCUAAAACCCCAAUCUUGCAGCAGGAGGAGAAGGUGACAAAGAAACGGAAGAGGAGGAUGGAGCAGGAGCCAUCCGGCAACUCGCCGUUGCCACUUCACCCCGGCGAUGCCUGUAACUCAUUCCUCCAGUCCCCCGCUCCCGAAAUCCUAACGUUGGCAGAGGCGGCGGCGAUGAUGAGGAAGAGGAAUAUGCAUAAAGAGCAGAAUCUUCCUUUUGCCCCAAAUCCUACCUUAGAGGAGCAAGGGGAGAAGGAGAAGAAGGAGCGCAAGCGUGUGGAGCAGAUUUUGCUAUCUCCUUCUACAUCUGUUGCUGCUGAAACCCCGAUUCAGGAGCAGGAGGUGAAUGUGAUAAAGAAACAGAAAAGGAGGAGGGGCCAGGAACCAUCCGGCAAAUCACAGGAGCCAUUAGACAGUUCGCCAUUGCUACUUCACCCCGGACAUGUCUCUGAGCCCCUACUAGCUGCCUCACUCCUUCAGUCCCCCGCUCCCGAAAUCCUAACAUUGGAAGAGGCCACGGUGAUGAUGAGGAAAAGGAAGAUUCAUAAAGAGCAGAAGGUGGAUGCGCUGCCUUUUGCCCAAAAUCCAACCUUAGAGGAGCAUGGGGAGGAUGCCAUGAUGGCGAAGAAGAAGAAAAAGCGCAAGUGCGUGGAGCAGAUAUUCUCAUCUCCUUCAACAUCUGUUGCUACUGAAACUCCAAUUCAGGAGCAGGAGAUGAAGGUGACCAGGAAACAGAAGCAGAGGAUGGGGCUGGAAGCAUCCAGCAACAUGCCGUUGCCACUUCACCACAGUCAUGUCUCCGAGCACCCACUCGCUGUCCCAUUCCUUCAAGCCGCCGCUCCUGAAAUCCUAACGCUCAAACAGGCGGCAGCGAUGAUGAGAAAAAGGAAUAUGCAUAAAGAGGAGAAGGUGGACGCGCUGCCUUUUGCCCAGAAUCCUACCUUAGAGGAGCAGCGGGAGGAGGCCAUGAUGGUGACAAAAAAGAAAAAGCACAAGCGCGUGGAGCAGAUAUUGUCACCUCCUUCAACAUCUGUUGCUGUAGAAACUACAAUUCAGGAGCAGGAGGUGAAGAAACAGAAGCUGAGGAGAAGGCAGGAGCCAUCCGGCAACUCGCCAUUGCCACUUCACCCUGGCCAUGCCUCUAAGCCCCUACUCGCUGCGCCAUUCCUUCAGUCGCCCGCUCCCAAAAUUCUUACGUUGGGAGAGGCGGCGGUGGCGGUGACGAUGGGGAAGAGGAAGAUGCGUAAGGAGCAGAAGGUGGAUGCGCUGUCUUUUGCUCAAAAUCCUACACUGGCGGAAGAGCAGGGGGAGGAGGCCAUGACCAUGAUGACUAAAAAGGAGCGCAAGCGUGUAGAGCAGAUACUGUCAUCUCCUACAUCUGUUGCGGCCGAAACCCCAAUCCAGGAGCAGGAGGUGAAGGUGACCAAGAAACAGAAGCAGAGGAGGGGACAUGAACCAUCUGCCAAGUCAACAUUACCACUUGACCGUGGCCAGAGUCGCUGUGUUCAAUCACAUGGAGCCAAAGCUCCACCAAAACAAGAUGGAGAGAAUGAUGGCUGCAAGGGUAUUAAAAAAAGCAAUGGCAAGAAACCCCGUGUCCGUGUCCUCAACAACCGUGAGCUCAUCCAGGAGGCAAGAAAGCAGCCGCAGCCGCUGCCCGAAGGCUUUGUGCCGUUCAGCAAUUUUGUUGCCAGUUGCACAGAGCAGAACGCUGACCAUUCAUCGCCUUGCAGUGCAUUCUUUGACCAGUUUCGCUAUAACCCUGUCUGCGAAGAUCGCAAACCCCCACUUCCCAGAACCCCUGAUCGUCUGACCAGGUUGCCACCUCGAGGUUACUCAUCAUUUGAGUCAUCUCAGCUCGCUGCAAAUGAAGUUUCCAGGCCUGACACCACUCUAGCGUCCAAGACAAAGCAGCAAGAUUCAGGUUCAGGAUCACAAGAGAAAGUUAGUGUAGAAGUAAAGGAAAACCCUGAAAACAAGACAAGGGAGAAGAAGCAAAGGAGACUAUCUGGCAAGUCACGAUUGCCAUUUGACUCCAGCCGGACUUGCUGUGUUCAGCUACAAGGAACCAAAGCUCUACCAGAACAGGACCAAGAAACUGAUGCUCCAAAGGUUAACAAUAUUGAAAAAAGUAACAGCAAGAAGGCCCAUGUCUGUGCUCCCAGCAAAUGCGAACUCUUCAAGGAGAUGACAAAGGAGCAGACGCUGACUGAAGGCUUUUUGGCACCCAAAGAUUUGGUUUCCAAUUGCACUGAGCAGAGUCCCAAUUAUUCAUCGCCUUCUGGUGCAUCCUUUGAUCCGUUCUGCUACAGAUCUGCUCGGCAAGAUCUCAAUCCCCAACCUUCUAGAAGCACUGAUCAUCUACCAUUUGAGUUGUCUGAGCUCACUACGAGUGAAACCUCCAACGCUUUCAAGGCUAACAAUUCUGUGCAGUCCAAGUCAAAGAAGAAAGAUUCAGGUUCAAGCUCCACCUCAGGCUCACAGAAGAAACGAAAUGUAAAAGAAAAGACAACCCCUGAGAAGAAGACGAGGAUCAGGAAACCACGACCAGUGUUUACCACUGCUGAGAAGCGCUCAGACAAAUACCGGCGCGUACCCUUGGACCAGCUGGUACCACCGCCACGCUCUCCUCAUAAUCUCUUGCAGGAGAAGUACGCCUCUGACCCGUGGAAGGUUAUGCUCAUCUGCAUGUUCCUCAACUUAACACAGGGUAUACAGGUCAAGAGGAUGUUGGAGGGCUUCUUUGAACGCUAUCCUGACCCUUGGUCUGCAAUUAACGCUGAUCCUGACAAGAUGGCGGAGUAUCUAUCUCCUCUAGGGUUGCAGCAUGUGAAGACACGCAAUAUCAAGAAAUUGUCCAAGCAGUAUGUUGGAAAUGAAUGGACCCAUAUUACGCAGCUUUGUGGCGUCGGCAAGUACGCAGCUGAUGCUUAUGCAAUAUUUUGUGCGGGUAGGGCGAGGGAGGUGGUACCUGAUGAUCACAAGUUAGUUGACUACUGGAACUAUGUCUGCUUUGAGUUGCCCAUGACGCAGCAGAAUCCCAACCAAAAAUGUUUCCAGCUCCCAGAAUCUGCAAAUGCAGCGACUUUGGCAUACUGUAUUUUUUGCAGCACCUGGAACCCAGCUUCCAUCGCAAGCGUAGCCAUCGGCUCCUCCCCUGAUCAAAUUCUUGCACGAAGAGGCUGCCCGCGCCCCUCCUCUCGGAGUCCCCUGCUGUGCCACCGCCUGCCCGUUCCCACUCGGUGA